UGUGACUGUAUGUGUAUGUGUGUGUGUACGCGCACUCUAACGGUGCUGUGUGUGUAUGUCUGUGUGUGUGUAUGUGUGUGUAUACGCGCGCUCAAACGAUGCUGUGUGUAUGUGUGUGUGCGUAUGCUCUAACAGGCUGCUGUGACUUUGUGUGUAUGUGUGUGUGUACGCACGCUCUAACGUUGAUGUGUGUGUGUUUGUGUGUGUACGCGCGCUCUAACAGCGCUGUGUGUGUAUGUCUGUGUGUGUAUGCGUACGCACGCUCUAACGGCGUUGUGUGUGUAUGUCUGUGUGUGUGUAUGUUUGUACGUACGCGUGCUCUAACAGCGCUGUGUGUGUAUAUCUGUGUGUGUAUGUGUGUGUGUACGCGCGCUCUAACGGCGCUGUGUGUGUGUGUAUGCGCGCUCUAGCAGCGCUGUGUGUGUAUGUCUGUGUACGCACGCUCUAACGGCGCUGUGUGUGUGUGUGCGCUCUAAUGGCGCUGUGUGUGUGUGUGCACGCGCGCUCUAAUGGCGCUGUGUGUGUAUGUCUGUGUGUGUGUUUGUGUGCUUGUACGUGCGCUCUAACGGUGCUGUGUGUGUGUACGCGCGCUCUAAUGGCGCUGUGUGUGUAUGUGUGUUUGUGUACGCACGCUCUAACAGGGUGCUGUGAGUGUGUGUAUGUAUGUGUGACUCUGAAGGGGAGCAGAAAGAUGAUGGAGAGCAGCUUCGACGCAGGAGUGUGAGAAGCAGGCUGGGCAGGGGCACCGUGUCAAAGCAGCCAGACAACAUGAGAGCCGGACUGGACACGAGAAAAACCAAAUCAGAAAGUGAUUUGAGGAAAGUCCCAGAGAAGCAGAGGACAAGGCCUAUGGGGCAGUUAAACAGGAGAAGACCGGUCCCAAUGUACACCAAGUCAGACAUGGGACUGGUGAGACCGACGGCGUCAGACUGAGCAAAGUCCAGCCAUGAGAGACCCGUAGAACAGGGCCUGGAGAGAUACAUGACAUCUGUCCCGUCUGUGACCAUCUUUGCCCUGGCUGGGUCAGACAGUACUGGGCUCCUGAUGACAACAAUCUUCAUAACCCAUCCAGGAAGCUGCACUUCACCAUCCUGCCAGAUACACCAACAGGGAACAGAUAGCAACCUCUCUCCUUCUUUCUGAAAAAUGGAAAUUAAAUCUCUCCAAAGGGUUACAGGACAUUAGUAGGAAAGGAGAGACAUUCAUCAGAAUGUGCUUUCUGAUAUGCAAAUAUCAUUAUGCAUAUUAGGAAAUGAAAACAUAUGAGGCCAGGUUAAGCAU